rnacentral:tRNA from 1 species
GGAGCGGUGGCCGAGAGACUUAAGGCGGCGGUCCCGAAAACCGUUGGGCUGAAAGGUCCCGUGGGUUCAAAUCCUACCCGCUCCG